GCACUGCUGAGGAGUCCCAUACCAGGACGAAACGGCCGUUCAGUGU
rnacentral:hammerhead_ribozyme from 1 species